UAUAUAUUAGUAUAAGAUGUACAUAGAGUUUUGAUCUUUAAAGGAAUAGUUUAAUUCUAUUAUAUAUAA
rnacentral:tRNA from 1 species